UGACCCGAGAUUGCGCUACUGCACUCCAGCCUGGGCGACAGAGCGAGGUUCCGUCUCGAAAAAAAAAACAACGAAAAGGGGACUCACUUCGGAGAAGCUGCCCUCUCUGCAAACUUAUUUGAGUAAGGGACUGAAGACUGAAGUUAGGGAGAGGAAAGGGAUACACGUCUGUUAGUGCGAGUUGCGUGUCUUGUUAGUGCGAACUGGAACCCAAGUUUCCUUUGGGAAGACUUUGGCGAAAGAGUACAGGAACACCAGCCACUCCAGAAAGAGACCGCUCCUCUUGAACCCGCCCACUUAACUCCUCCCGCAGGCUCUACGUUCGAAUGCCUCCACCCUGAUUUUAGAAGGUUAUAGGCGCACAAUCAAGGAAAUGUCGACAGAGGGCGUCCUUGCUCUAAGCAGCAUUGUCCACCUGCUUCCUGAGCGGGGUUCAGUGAUUAUUCUCUGAACCUGGACUUCUGGCGUUGUGCCUCUAUACUCCAUUUCCCUGCUUCAAAGCUCUCCUAAUUGACUUUAUUUUCUGACACUCCCCCACUUUACCCCCCAGGAGUGUUGCUUCUUUUAUUUCUUUGCCUGGAUGGUCGUUUGGCUUAGUAAAUAGACCUAGACCCCACCCCAUGGUGUAGAAGCAGUUGGUGAACUUCUAUAAAGGGCCAGACAGUACACAUUUUAGGCUCUGCGAUCUCCUUAUGGUUGAAAGUUCUACUGUUGUAGCACAAAAUCAGCCUUGGACAGUAAGCAAAUAGAGAUGUGGUCUUGCUAUGUUGCCCGGGCUGAGUGCAGUGACUAUUCACAGGCCGGAUCUAGUGCACUGCAGUCUUGAACUCCUGGCUUACAGUCCUGCUGGUUCUGAGAGGCAGGGGAAGAAACGGCCACCAUGCUCUGCAGCUAGGUCUCAGCAUGAGGACCAAGAACCCUGGUGUUCCUCCACUCAUCGGAGCCGUAUCAUUUUGGUGCAUUGGCCAGGAAAGGAAAUUCAAUCAUGAGACUGGUGAGUAUGGAGCGGAUUUCAACUUUAUAUCUGUUCUUUAGUCUCAAGGCUCUCUUCCAGCUACCCUGUCGCCAAAACUUUCUUUCUAUCUGUGGUCUCUCUGUGUGUCUAAUGUGCAGGAUUCUGUCUGUUAGAAAAGAUCGUGAAUCACGGCAUGCAGUAACUCAAUAAGUGUCUCUCUCUCUCUCUACGUUUUCUCUGGCAAGCACAUGGUAUUUCUAAGCCACCUAGUAGAAAUCAGGCUGUAGGCCUCUUCUAAGAAUGGGAAGUUUCUGCUUUUAACAGUUAGGAGUAGGAUGUCUUCCAUGGCCAAAUUUUAGUCUCAAUAUUGUCCCACUGGCAGGAAAACGGCCAUUCAGUUCCUAUGUUCCUUUAAGCCAUCUAUUCUGGCUCCUACUAAGACAGUGCUUAAUUAGUAAGGGGAUUUUAAGUCCAGAAGUUAACCGGAACCAUUCUUCUAUGGGUAAAUGCUUUAGCAUGGGCUAUAAUGGCAGGAUAUAGAGUUCAAUCUAUCACAUCCCCUCCCUUAAAGGGUCUCUUCCCAAUUACAUGGUUUUUCUUCAAAUCCAUUUUUUGGGAGGCACACAGGCCACCCAAGUCUAGGAGGUCAAAGGUAAAUAAAAGGCAGAGAACUGAUUGCUUGGGAACAGCGUGACUAUGGCCCAAAACUCAGAUCCUCUGGUGCCAUGGCUUGGAGGGUCACACCUGCAGUCAUGGGUGGAACAUUUAAAUGAGUGCUGGGAAUCCAGGAACAAAAGAGAAAAUAGUUGGGGGACGCCUCCUACUGCUUUCUUCUCCAUCCUGGAUUUCAUACCAAAAGGAAGGAGACUAAAAGGACGCUUUUAUUCUCACUUCUCUUUCUAGAUGGGUAACAGACCAUCUUCAACAUGCACUUCUCUUGAGUGUAUUUUGAAGCACUAGGACUCUUUCGACCUUGAAACUUUGAAGAAAAAGUGGCUUAUUUUCUUUUGCAGUCAUAUCAGGCAGGCCCAGGGAAAACAGUACCCCAAAAUUUAAAAAGUAACUUUCAGGGAAGUCAUCUGAGGGUCCCCCUUAUUUGGGGCCCCUUCAAGUUCCCUUCUCAUUGCAGGACCUUUGGCAAGUAAAGGGAGACUUAGGCUGGUUUUCUGAUGACCUUAAUAAGUAUAUGGAAGCUUUCCAAUAUUUAACUCAGGUAUGUAACCUCUCAUGAAGGGAUGUUAUGUUGCUGCUAAGGCAAACCCUUACUGUAGGUAAAAUAAGCAGCUCUGCAAGCAGAAGAAAAUUUUGGAGAUAAGUAAUGUCUCCUAUAGAAGGCCAAAAGGGAAAAGAAAAAAAUAGGGAAGGCAAAGGGGAAACACCAUUCCCAAUAGGAAAAGAGGCAAUACCUCCUGACAACCCUAAUUGGAACUCCUUUCUGUGGUGUUUUUCCUUGUUUUGCAGUUUAAAAUGGCUUCUCUUUUAUAAUGUUCUUCCAACAUGGAAAAGGUUAAUUUUCCAAACCUUAAAAUGUUUGGCAUAGAGUUGAGCUAGGGGGAAGGAAACCCAGCCCAGAAGCCUGAUAUGCUGGCAAAAGGGUAAAAAUUUCUUACCAGUCAGGCUUUUGGCUUCUCUCUUCCUGUGGAAACCGGCAAAAGGGAUAAUAAAGAUCAUUGUUUAUGUUUUCUUUAAAUUUAUAGUUAAUGAAAAAGGAUUUGUGAGGUUGGUCUUAAGCUGUAAACAAUCUGCUCUUCUUUGUAUGUCUUUCUGUGUGGUUCUGUUAAAGAAAAGGUAUCUUAGGUCAGGAUGCAGGCCCAGAAACCCAUAAGCCUGCUGUUCAAACCAGCCCAGCAAAGUAUCCAGUGGCAAACUUGGCUACAGGCCUCCAUCUUGUUUCAUGUCAUGGGAACAUAAUCUGUAACCAUGUGGCAAUACUUUGUUUUUGUCUCCGCCAUUUUACAAUGGUGGCUGUCUUCUUGUGCUAAAUCAGAUAAGCCAGUUUGUCAGUCUGGGCUGUGUCAGCUGAUCCAUCAAGGGCAGGGUUUACAAAACAUCUUAAGCACUGAUCAUAACAGCCGUUUAGGGAGGGUCAAAAUCUUGUAGCCUCCAAUUGCAUGGCUCUUGGGCCAUGGUUUCUAAUCCUGUAGCUAGUUUCUUGGUCUGGUCCCCAGGCAAAAGGGAAGUAUAUCUUGAGAAGCAGCUGCUAUCUUCUUUGUUUUAGACUAUAAACUGUAAACCAAGCUCCUCCCCAACUUGAUUCAGCCUAUGCCCGGGGAUGGGCAAGGACAGUUUGGGGACUGGAAACAAAAUGGAGUUGUUUGGGUGAGAUCUCUUCCACUGUCUCAGUCACAAUUUUGCAGUGACAGUUUCAAAAGCUGCCUGUCCGGGUGGAUCACGAGGUCAGGAGUUCAAGACCAGCCUAGUCAACAUGACGAAACCCUGUCUCUACUAAAAAA
rnacentral:lncRNA from 1 species